rnacentral:rRNA from 1 species
UGAGGAAUAUUGGGCAAUGCCCGCAAGGGUGACCCAGCAACGCCGCGUGGAGGAUGAAUGUCGUAAGAUUGUAAACUCCUGUUAGAGGGGAAGAAUAGUACCGGUUGGACCGGUAUAUGACUGUACCCUCAGAGAAAGCCCCGGCUAACUACGUGCCAGCAGCCGCGGUAAUACGUAGGGGGCAAGCGUUGUCCGGAUUUACUGGGUGUAAAGGGCGCGCAGGCGGGAUAAAAAGUCAGUGGUGAAAUCCUACAGCUUAACUGUAAAACUGCCUUUGAUACUUUUAUUCUUGAGUUCGGGAGAGAGAGACGGAAUUCCAGGUGUAGUGGUGAAAUACGUAGAUAUCUGGAAGAACACCAGUUGCGAAGGCGGUCUCUUGGUCCGACACUGACGCUGAGGCGCGAAAGCGUGGGGAGCAAACA